GGGACUUGUCCAUCCUCGUCCCCAGUGCCACGCUCGUUGCUCUCGCUCAGUGGGAGCAACGAGCGUGGCCCUGGGGACGAGGAUGGGACUUGUC